UACGUAGGGGGCUAGCGUUGUCCGGAAUCAUUGGGCGUAAAGCGCGCGUAGGCGGUCCGGUAAGUCCGCUGUGAAAGUCGAGGGCUCAACCCUCGAAUGCCGGUGGAUACUGGCGGGCUAGAGUGCGGAAGAGGCGAGUGGAAUUCCUGGUGUAGCGGUGAAAUGCGCAGAUAUCAGGAGGAACACCUAUUGCGAAGGCAGCUCGCUGGGACGUUACUGACGCUGAGACGCGAAAGCGUGGGGAGCAAACAGG
rnacentral:rRNA from 1 species